rnacentral:rRNA from 1 species
UACGAAGGGGGCUAGCGUUGUUCGGAAUUACUGGGCGUAAAGCGCACGUAGGCGGAUCGAUCAGUCAGGGGUGAAAUCCCAGGGCUCAACCCUGGAACUGCCUUUGAUACUGUCGAUCUGGAGUAUGGAAGAGGUGAGUGGAAUUCCGAGUGUAGAGGUGAAAUUCGUAGAUAUUCGGAAGAACACCAGUGGCGAAGGCGGCUCACUGGACUGGUAUUGACGCUGAGGAGCGAAAGCAUGGGGAGCGAACAGG